CUUCCGCUUUUGAUUUCGGUGAUGUCGUGGAUGAUUUAGAAGUUGAACAGAAUGAUAUAGCACUUCAAAAGAAUGGCAGCAGAUAAGCAGUUACGUUAAAUAAUGCCGGAGUUUCGUCGUGAACUGAACAUAUGAUGUACCGAUUAAGGAGUGUUGUGACUGGAUUAUUGCCUGACUGAUGGUUGCCUGACUGUCCCAGUCGGAAAUAGUGGAUGUUAGAGGGAUGCACGGUUGCCGUUUACUUUAGAUUUAAUACUUUUAUUAUUGUUUUUUUAUUUCUUUUUGUUCUGUGAAUUUGGGACCCAGAGUGUCAGAGCAGAGAUUAGGCCCCAAAGAAACUGGAUUAGUAGUGAUUGUGUUAUAAUGCUGACUUGUGUUUGUCACCUGCAUUGCCUACUGUUAAUUAAGAUGUUUAUUCUUUUCUUUUGUAGGUUCAGUUUUGGUUUUCUUAAGCCAAUGGUGGCCACUGAGUUGCCUUCACUGUGCGGAUGGCGGUGGUGAGGUGGCUGGGAUUGCGUGGUGGUUUGAUCACUUUAUCUUUGGUUUUCUUAUAGGUUUGCAGUGUGAUUGCUGUGAGCUUGACUGCUGUGAGAACACUUUUGCUUUGGUGCCACUUCUGUCUUCACUUUCUAGGUGACCUGUGGCCAUCUAUAGUUGGUUUUUCUUUUUGUUGUUUGUUUAUUUUUAUUUUCAUUUUUUCCUCAUGUGGGUAUUUGCAUCAAAUAUUGGUGAUGUGGUGUUUUAAUACUUUUGACCUGUCUGAAUAAAAAUGUGCCCGUUUAUCAAAGUCACCUCAUGGCCCCUUUCGCCUGUUUAUUACUGACCUAUUAAGGUCAUCCCAC